UGUGUUGACUCAAACAAGAGAAUUUGGUUAUUACUGUUGUGGUUUUGUGUAUGAGUGGAAGUUUCACACCGCUUCAACAGGAACAUUUGAUGCGCAGGUGUGGAGAAGUCAAUCGAACGACGUUUACCUAUUGGUGGGAUCUAAUUCGUUAACAUCGACAAAUCCUGGAACAGAAGAAAUUCGUACUAUUACCAACGGACAGAGAAUCAGAGUAAUGAAAAAGGAUUAUCUUGGAAUACAUUCAACUGGAGGAUCUGUCGUUACUUAUGUAAACGAAGGAACAGAAACCAUUAGGAGGCUAAAUAAUAUAAUAACAGCAAUCGGUGUGUCGACUACACUUGAUACUUCCGGUGCAGCAGUAUCGAACUCAGACUAUGCCAU